UCCUGUUUAGCUCAGUUUGUAGAGCGCUCCACGGGAAAUUGAGAGGUCCCUGGUUCGAUACCAGGACCAGGCG
rnacentral:tRNA from 1 species